rnacentral:rRNA from 1 species
GAUGAACGCUAGCGGCAGGCUUAACACAUGCAAGUCGAGGGGCAGCGGGAGUAGCAAUACUUGCCGGCGACCGGCGCAAGGGUGCGUAACGCGUGAGCAACAUGCCCGUAUCAGGGGGAUAAUCCAUGGAAACGUGGUCUAACACCCCAUAGUAAAUUUUUGGGGCAUCUCAAAGAUUUUAAAGCUUUGGUGGAUACGGAUUGGCUCGCGUGACAUUAGCUAGAUGGUAAGGUAACGGCUUACCAUGGCUACGAUGUCUAGGGGUUCUGAGAGGAAGGCACCCCACACUGGAACUGAGACACGGUCCAGACUCCUACGGGAGGCAGCAGUGAGGAAUAUUGGACAAUGGAUGGAAAUCUGAUCCAGCCAUGCCGCGUGCAGGAAGACGGCCCUAUGGGUUGUAAACUGCUUUUGUAUGGGAGCAAUAAGGUCUACGUGUAGACCGAUGAGAGUACCAUACGAAUAAGCACCGGCUAACUCCGUGCCAGCAGCCGCCGUAA